GCAAGUCCAACGGUGGCCCUAAAGAGACUCUUAAACUAUGAAUCCUUAAGAAAAAAGCAAAAAUUAAAUUUAAAAUGUGAAUUAAGCUAAGGAACGUACCUAAUCUUAGAGUUUUUUUUUGUCUGCAAGAGUUCCAUACGUGUCAGUUUCUCAUGAUUUGUGGACUGAGAAAACAAAUUAAUUUUUUCUUUCCCGUUUCAUUUCACGAUCUCUCUCUCUUCUCUUGUGUUCUCCGAAGGCGACAGAGAAAGAACAAGGUCUCGAUCAUCAUCAUCCGACGGUGGAUCAUCAAAUCGGAAGAGAAAAUCCGAAGAAACUUGAUUGUGUAGAUCGUGAUGAAUUUGUUUUUUUUAGAUGUUAUCGAAAUUAGGGUUUGUCGAAUUGGGAAUUGAUGAAAGAUAAAUUAGGGUUCUUUGAUGUAAACGCAAUUAGGUUGCUUUGAAUACAUAAUCAGUCUCUUUCUUCGUUAUUAGACAUGAUUAAAGACGAUUUUUUGCCUUUAGAUUGUUUGUUUCCAUUCGGAUUUGAUAUCAAGUUGAAUCUCUGUUUUGUAUGUCUCUCUGUUUCUCUGAAGAAGAGCUAGACAUAGAUGACAUUGACAUCGACGAUCAUCAUCAUAGUCAACAACAAGAGAAGCCUAAAGAACAAGGGAUAUUGUCACGGCUUAGUAAGCAGAAGAUGGUGAAUAGGUUUAGCAAUUUCAAAGGUAAGCUGAAAAAGAUGGCAACUAAGAAUGAGAAGAGUGUUGUAACCAAUGAGAAAAGCAUGAGGAGAA